GGCCUGAUGGUCUAGUGGUAUGAUUGUCGCUUCGUAAGCUUGCCCCGCCGCCACCAACAUCCAACCAACAUCGUCCUAACAACCAUCUAGGGGUUUCUCUACCUGGAUACAGUGUAUCUGUUAUGUGACAGGCCCCGGGUUCGAAUCCCGGUCAGGCCC
rnacentral:tRNA from 1 species